GACGAACGCUGGCGGCGUGCCUAAUACAUGCAAGUCGAGCGAAGUUUUUCUGGUGCUUGCACCGGAAAAACUUAGCGGCGAACGGGUGAGUAACACGUAAAGAACCUGCCUCAUAGACUGGGACAACUAUUGGAAACGAUAGCUAAUACCGGAUAACAGCAUUAACUGCAUGGUUGAUGUCUAAAAGUUGGUUUUGCUAACACUAUGAGAUGGCUUUGCGGUGCAUUAGCUAGUUGGUGGGGUAAAGGCCUACCAAGGCGACGAUGCAUAGCCGACCUGAGAGGGUGAUCGGCCACACUGGGACUGAGACACGGCCCAGACUCCUACGGGAGGCAGCAGUAGGGAAUCUUCCGCAAUGGGCGAAAGCCUGACGGAGCAACGCCGCGUGAGUGAAGAAGGAUUUCGGUUCGUAAAGCUCUGUUGUUAGGGAAGAAUGAUUGUGUAGUAACUAUACACAGUAGAGACGGUACCUAACCAGAAAGCCACGGCUAACUACGUG
rnacentral:rRNA from 1 species